UACGGGAGGCAGCAGUGGGGAAUUUUGGACAAUGGGGGAAACCCUGAUCCAGCAAUGCCGCGUGUGUGAAGAAGGCCUUCGGGUUGUAAAGCACUUUUGUCCGGAAAGAAAACUUCUGCCCUAAUACGGCGGGAGGAUGACGGUACCGGAAGAAUAAGCACCGGCUAACUACGUGCCAGCAGCCGCGGUAAUACGUAGGGUGCGAGCGUUAAUCGGAAUUACUGGGCGUAAAGCGUGCGCAGGCGGUUCGUUAAGACAGAUGUGAAAUCCCCGGGCUUAACCUGGGAACUGCAUUUGUGACUGGCGAGCUAGAGUAUGGCAGAGGGGGGUAGAAUUCCACGUGUAGCAGUGAAAUGCGUAGAGAUGUGGAGGAAUACCGA
rnacentral:rRNA from 1 species